AAACGUCCCGUCCGGGUGGGUCAUCCUUACCUGAGACACUUGACUAUCAAAACCUUUUGACUAAAACACAAUGGGGAAGAUAGGGUAUUAUGACACGAUCUUACGGACCAACAGAUCUACUACAUUCCCAUAUCAUUGAGUUUCCUAUCUGCUGGUAGAGUCUUGGAGACCAUUCGAGCACCUCUCUCAAAGGAUCAUACUGCUGUGUUCAUAUGUGCACGUGGUGUUAAGACUCGGCUCAGAAAAGUGUAUCAUUUACAUCUUAAUAAGGGGAUACAAAUCUCUGCAUCCUUUUCUCUCUAAUCUUCCCUGUAGUGGGCAUAAAUUCUCCUCUGGACAAGGCCAUAUGCCAAAGGCGUGCCCCUUUAAUUCUCAUCUAUCCCCCUCUCGUGCCCUCCAAGAGAAAACCCAUAAACUUUAAUUUCAAAUUCAAGAAAAGAGAAACAGAGCAUGCGGUGACAAAGGACGGAGGCAUCUGCUGGAGAACAAAGAACAUCUGCAGUCAUUCCCAUACAAUGCACAAGGGGCUUCAACCCAGACCAUUACCUCCGCAGCUACGAGGAGCAGGGGGAAGUUAGUGCACCUAUAAUUCUGAGCACCGCCACGCUUGUAGACACAUACACACAAAGCCCAAAGAAAAGAGAUGGAAGGUGAAUCAAUGCAAACAGAAGGCUGGAGGGGGGGUUAACGCACUGUAAUGGACUGUGGGCUGCGUUUAGAGGCAGCAGCUGGACUUUAUGUUUUAUGGGACAGGCGUGUAUAGCGUCUGCCGAUGGGAGCAGACAUAUAGAAGAGGACUGGCAGGGUUCGAGACGCCCACAGUCUGAACAUUUAGUCUGUUAAUGGUAGUUUUAAAUUGUGAUGGUUUAUGGGAUAGGCUUAGAGAUGCCAUAAAAAAUUUAAAUGAGCCAUUGAUCUUAAAUACAGCAGUCAUUCAAUUUAAAUGAUUUUCAUAAAAAUAUUACAUUAAAAAGGACAAAUUAAAAUCCUGUAAAAAUGUUACA